rnacentral:rRNA from 1 species
AGAGUUUGAUCAUGGCUCAGGACGAACGCUGGCGGCGUGCCUAACACAUGCAAGUGGAGCGACGAACCAGGCUUCGGCCUGGGGCAAAGCCGCGAACGGGUGAGUAACACGUGGGUAACCUGCCCCGAUGACCGGGACAACCCGAGGAAACUCGGGCUAAUACCGGAUGUGCCUACGACCUCAAGGUCGCUGGGGAAAGG